rnacentral:rRNA from 1 species
GACGUAGGUGGCGAACGUUAUCCGGAAUUAUUGGGCGUAAAGGGUGCGUAGACGGUUAAGUAAGUUAGUGGUGGUAAAUCAGAGCUCAACUCUGUGGAAGUUGCUAAUACUGUUUUAACUUGAGAGCAGAAGAGGUUAACGGAAUUCUCUGUGGAGCGGUGAAAUGCAUAGAUAUAGAGAAGAACACCAAAAGGCGAAGGCAGUUAACUACUCUGUCUCUGACGUUGAGGCACGAAAGCGUGGGGAGCAAAACGG